CUUAGACCCAUGUGUCUAGGACUUCAAAAGAUCACCAUUAAAUUUGGUACAAAUCUCUAGAAAAGUUAUUACAUGGGUGUAGGACUUGACUUUUCUAGUGAUUUGUGCCAAAUUUAAUGGUGAUCCUUUGGGGUCCUAUUCACAUGGGUGUGGA
rnacentral:pre_miRNA from 1 species